CACUUCACUUCUCUUGUACUCCUCCUCUUUUUUUCUUUCUCACGCUUCUUUUUCAAACCCUCAUCUUCUUCCUCUCUCUCUUUCUUCCCUAGAAUUUCAUACACUUGAAGAAACACUAUGUAGUUUAGGGUUAGAUCUGACAAACUCAUUGAGUUUGGGGGACGAAAGAGAGUAACGGUGGUGAUGAUUUGGUUACAAACUUCUAUACGGCGGUGACACUGGAUGAUUGGACAAGAUCGGAAUCAACUGCAUACAUCUCCUUCGAUUGGUGGCUAGAGAUACUUUGCAGAGAGAUGAUGUUAAACAUCUAGGGUUUGGGAGUAUAGAUGGAUUCAUCUUUGUGGUGGGACACACUCAUGUUCUUCAAGUUAAAGGUUAUCACAGUAUGUUUGUUCUCCUUUCAUUAAGAAUAGUGGCUUGUGGAUCAUCCUAAAUUUCUCAACAACCCAUUUGGGGACAGUGCUUCCCAUGAUUGUUCAGGAAAUCUAUUAUCGUUUGUCAUCACCAAAUGGUCACCUUGUCGAGAGUGCUACAUUCUAUGAUUCGUUAGUUGGGGUCUUUCGCUAUAAACCCUUUGACGCUAAAGUUGACUAGAGUAUGGUUGCUAAGGCUUCUCCAUGUUAUGUGACAUAUCUUAAGAACUCUGUAGAUAAAAUUGUUAACUUUUUUGAAAGCAAUGCUGCCGUGAAUCAGAAGAUAGCCUUGGAAAUAGCCGUUGCUGUGCAGAUAACGAUCGAUGAGGUUAAGCGCUCUGCACAACAGCAAGUAAACAAGGCCUUGAAGGAUCAUGCCAGGUUCUUCUUGGACUUGGAUAUAGCAGCUCCCAAGAUCACCAUUCCAACUGAAUUUUCACCAGACAGUUUUCAUUCGACAAAACUCUUUCUUGACCUCGGAAACUUGAUAAUUCGUACUCAGACUCGAUUUGUUGUUUAUUAUUCAGUCUUUGAUCCCAAUCACACAUAAUGACCGGCGUUCUGCUUUACUUCCGAAUUCUCCAGUGACGUUUCCUGGCCGACAACCCUGAAUAGUUCUACCUAAUUUGGGUAUACAUGCACAAAAAAUGGCGGAAGGGCAUCAAAAUGGUAAAAAAAUAAAACCUCCACGUUCCUUUAAGAGUACAAGGUUUGUAUUUUAUUAUGAAUUCGAAUUAACUGCUACUGUGUUGGAUCUUGUGUAUUGAUAUAAGCCUGAAAUAUAUGUUUAGAGGGGGAGGAGGAGUAGAAAAAACAUAAAUUUGAAAGCAUUGCAGACCUUGGUUUUAAAUUCUAACAAGGUUGAGGUUUUACACUUUUACAUUGACGAUAGAAGUCAUUGAUAUGAAUUCUGGUUUAUUUAUCUGAUUUUAGUUUGUUGUUUGUUUUUUUUUUUUUUUUUUUUGACAAUUUAAACUCAUAAAUAAACUUUUUUUGAAUUCAAUAUCUGGUAAAUGGACAGGUGGCGAUGACAAUAUAUUGGGAUAUAACAGUAACUGGAAGCGAAGCUACUUACAAGGUUCAUAUAGUAACUGGAAACGAAGCUACUACAAGCACGUUAUCAUUAAACAAGAAGUGAUGUUUUAUUUAUGAUGAGCAUAACAUGUUUAAUCCUUUGGACUUUCAAAUCCAACAGUUUCGAAGUUCUUGGUAGAAAGAUCAAUUUUAUGGCAGGUUCGAUAUAAUUUAGUACUUUUCUUAAUUCUUUGUUUUCCCGUAUAUAUAUUUUUCUAUUCAAAUAUUUUUUAAGAACCUUCUAUAACUUGAGAGCACUAAUUUUGCAUUGUAAUGUAUUCUUUAUUAAAGAAACAGGUCAUUAUGUUGUAAA